UGGGGAAUAUUGGACAAUGGGGCAACCGUGCAUCCAGCAAUGCCGCGUGUGUGAAGAAGGUUUUCGGAUUGUAAAGCACUUUCGGCGGGGACGAUGAUGACGGUACCCGCAGAAGAAGCCCGGCUACUUCGUGCCAGCAGCCGCGGUAAUACGAAGGGGCGUAGCGUUGCUCGGAAUGACUGGGCGUAAAGGGCGUGUAGGCGGUUUGUACAGUCAGAUGUGAAAUCCCGGCGUUACUGGGAGCUGCAUUUGAUACGUGCAAACUAGAGUGUGAGAGAGGGUUGUGGAAUUCCCAGUGUAGAGGUGAAAUUCGUAGAUAUUGGGAAGAACACCGGUGGCGAAGGCGGCAACCUGGCUUCAUUAACUGACGCUGAGGCGCGAAAGCGUGGGGAGCAAACA
rnacentral:rRNA from 1 species